rnacentral:Y_RNA from 1 species
GUGACGGAUACUUCAUUGAUCCGAGGGUCGCGGGUUCGAGUCCCGCCCGGCCACGGCCGGUAGCUCAGCCGGACAGAGCAUCGGAAGAGCACCGUCGCCGACUCCUG